rnacentral:rRNA from 1 species
UACAGAGGUGCCAAGCGUUGUUCGGAUUUAUUGGGCGUAAAGGGUGUGUAGGCGGUUAUGAAAGUCGGGUGUGAAAUACCGGAGCCUAACUCCGGAACGGCAUUCGAAACUCCAUAGCUAGAGAUCUGGAGAGGUGACUGGAAUUCUCGGUGUAGCAGUGAAAUGCGUAGAUAUCGUAAGGAAGACCAGUGGCGAAGGCGGGUCUCUGGACAGUUCCUGACGCUGAGGCACGAAGGUCAGGGGAGCAAACGGG